rnacentral:rRNA from 1 species
GUUAUAUGGUCAAGUGAAGAAGCGCAUACGGUGGAUGCCUUGGCAGUCAGAGGCGAUGAAAGACGUGGUAGCCUGCGAAAAGCUUCGGGGAGUCGGCAAACAGACUUUGAUCCGGAGAUGUCUGAAUGGGGGAACCCAGCCAUCAUAAGAUGGUUAUCUUGUACUGAAUACAUAGGUGCAAGAGGCGAACCAGGGGAACUGAAACAUCUAAGUACCCUGAGGAAAAGAAAUCAACCGAGAUUCCCUUAGUAGUGGCGAGCGAACGGGGACUAGCCCUUAAGUGGCUUUGAGAUUAGCGGAACGCUCUGGAAAGUGCGGCCAUAGUGGGUGAUAGCCCUGUACGCGAAAAUCUCUUAGUCAUGAAAUCGAGUAGGACGGGGCACGAGAAACCUUGUCUGAAUAUGGGGGGACCAUCCUCCAAGGCUAAAUACUACUGACUGACCGAUAGUGAACUAGUACCGUGAGGGAAAGGCGAAAAGAACCCCGGAGAGGGGAGUGAAAUAGAUCCUGAAACCGUAUGCGUACAAGCAGUGGGAGCCCACUUUGUUGGGUGACUGCGUACCUUUUGUAUAAUGGGUCAGCGACUUAUUUUCAGUGGCGAGCUUAACCGAAUAGGGGAGGCGUAGCGAAAGCGAGUCUUAAUAGGGCGUCUAGUCGCUGGGAAUAGACCCGAAACCGGGCGAUCUAUCCAUGGGCAGGUUGAAGGUUAGGUAACACUGACUGGAGGACCGAACCGACUACCGUUGAAAAGUUAGCGGAUGACCUGUGGAUCGGAGUGAAAGGCUAAUCAAGCUCGGAGAUAGCUGGUUCUCCUCGAAAGCUAUUUAGGUAGCGCCUCAUGUAUCACUGUAGGGGGUAGAGCACUGUUUCGGCUAGGGGGUCAUCCCGACUUACCAAACCGAUGCAAACUCCGAAUACCUACAAGUGCCGAGCAUGGGAGACACACGGCGGGUGCUAACGUCCGUCGUGAAAAGGGAAACAACCCAGACCGUCAGCUAAGGUCCCAAAGUCAUGGUUAAGUGGGAAACGAUGUGGGAAGGCUUAGACAGCUAGGAGGUUGGCUUAGAAGCAGCCACCCUUUAAAGAAAGCGUAAUAGCUCACUAGUCGAGUCGGCCUGCGCGGAAGAUGUAACGGGGCUCAAACCAUGCACCGAAGCUACGGGUAUCACUUAGGUGAUGCGGUAGAGGAGCGUUCUGUAAGCCUGUGAAGGUGAGUUGAGAAGCUUGCUGGAGGUAUCAGAAGUGCGAAUGCUGACAUGAGUAACGACAAUGGGUGUGAAAAACACCCACGCCGAAAGACCAAGGUUUCCUGCGCAACGUUAAUCGACGCAGGGUUAGUCGGUCCCUAAGGCGAGGCUGAAAAGCGUAGUCGAUGGAAAACAGGUUAAUAUUCCUGUACUUCUGGUUAUUGCGAUGGAGGGACGGAGAAGGCUAGGCCAGCUUGGCGUUGGUUGUCCAAGUUUAAGGUGGUAGGCUGGACUCUUAGGUAAAUCCGGGAGUUCAAGGCCGAGAGCUGAUGACGAGUUACCCUUUUGGGUGACGAAGUGGUUGAUGCCAUGCUUCCAAGAAAAGCUUCUAAGCUUCAGGUAACCAGGAACCGUACCCCAAACCGACACAGGUGGUUGGGUAGAGAAUACCAAGGCGCUUGAGAGAACUCGGGUGAAGGAACUAGGCAAAAUGGCACCGUAACUUCGGGAGAAGGUGCGCCGGUGAGGGUGAAGGACUUGCUCCGUAAGCUCAUGCCGGUCGAAGAUACCAGGCCGCUGCGACUGUUUAUUAAAAACACAGCACUCUGCAAACACGAAAGUGGACGUAUAGGGUGUGACGCCUGCCCGGUGCCGGAAGGUUAAUUGAUGGGGUUAGCUAACGCGAAGCUCUUGAUCGAAGCCCCGGUAAACGGCGGCCGUAACUAUAACGGUCCUAAGGUAGCGAAAUUCCUUGUCGGGUAAGUUCCGACCUGCACGAAUGGCGUAACGAUGGCGGCGCUGUCUCCACCCGAGACUCAGUGAAAUUGAAAUCGCUGUGAAGAUGCAGUGUAUCCGCGGCUAGACGGAAAGACCCCGUGAACCUUUACUAUAGCUUUGCACUGGACUUUGAAUUUGCUUGUGUAGGAUAGGUGGGAGGCUUUGAAGCGUGGACGCCAGUUCGCGUGGAGCCAUCCUUGAAAUACCACCCUGGCAACUUUGAGGUUCUAACUCAGGUCCGUUAUCCGGAUCGAGGACAGUGUAUGGUGGGUAGUUUGACUGGGGCGGUCUCCUCCUAAAGAGUAACGGAGGAGUACGAAGGUGCGCUCAGACCGGUCGGAAAUCGGUCGUAGAGUAUAAAGGCAAAAGCGCGCUUGACUGCGAGACAGACACGUCGAGCAGGUACGAAAGUAGGUCUUAGUGAUCCGGUGGUUCUGUAUGGAAGGGCCAUCGCUCAACGGAUAAAAGGUACUCCGGGGAUAACAGGCUGAUACCGCCCAAGAGUUCAUAUCGACGGCGGUGUUUGGCACCUCGAUGUCGGCUCAUCACAUCCUGGGGCUGAAGCCGGUCCCAAGGGUAUGGCUGUUCGCCAUUUAAAGUGGUACGCGAGCUGGGUUUAGAACGUCGUGAGACAGUUCGGUCCCUAUCUGCCGUGGACGUUUGAGAUUUGAGAGGGGCUGCUCCUAGUACGAGAGGACCGGAGUGGACGAACCUCUGGUGUUCCGGUUGUCACGCCAGUGGCAUUGCCGGGUAGCUAUGUUCGGAAUAGAUAACCGCUGAAAGCAUCUAAGCGGGAAACUAGCCUCAAGAUGAGAUCUCACUGGAACCUUGAGUUCCCUGAAGGGCCGUCGAAGACUACGACGUUGAUAGGCAGGGUGUGUAAGCGCUGUGAGGCGUUGAGCUAACCUGUACUAAUUGCCCGUGAGGCUUGACCAUAUAACACCCAAGCAAUU